UGCUGGGUGGAUUAGUGGCGAACGGGUGAGUAACACGUGAGUAACCUGCCCCUGACUCUGGGAUAAGCGUUGGAAACGACGUCUAAUACUGGAUAUGACUGCCGGCCGCAUGGUCUGGUGGUGGAAAGAUUUUUUGGUUGGGGAUGGACUCGCGGCCUAUCAGCUUGUUGGUGAGGUAAUGGCUCACCAAGGCGACGACGGGUAGCCGGCCUGAGAGGGUGACCGGCCACACUGGGACUGAGACACGGCCCAGACUCCUACGGGAGGCAGCAGUGGGGAAUAUUGCACAAUGGGCGAAAGCCUGAUGCAGCAACGCCGCGUGAGGGAUGACGGCCUUCGGGUUGUAAACCUCUUUUAGUAGGGAAGAAGCGUAAGUGACGGUACCUGCAGAAAAAGCACCGGCUAACUACGUGCCAGCAGCCGCGGUAAUACGUAGGGUGCAAGCGUUGUCCGGAAUUAUUGGGCGUAAAGAGCUCGUAGGCGGUUUGUCGCGUCUGCUGUGAAAUCCCGAGGCUCAACCUCGGGCUUGCAGUGGGUACGGGCAGACUAGAGUGCGGUAGGGGAGAUUGGAAUUCCUGGUGUAGCGGUGGAAUGCGCAGAUAUCAGGAGGAACACCGAUGGCGAAGGCAGAUCUCUGGGCCGUAACUGACGCUGAGGAGCGAAAGCGUGGGGAGCGAACAGGAUUAGAUACCCUGGUAGUCCACGCCGUAAACGUUGGGCGCUAGAUGUAGGGACCUUUCCACGGUUUCUGUGUCGUAGCUAACGCAUUAAGCGCCCCGCCUGGGGAGUACGGCCGCAAGGCUAAAACUCAAAGGAAUUGACGGGGGCCCGCACAAGCGGCGGAGCAUGCGGAUUAAUUCGAUGCAACGCGAAGAACCUUACCAAGGCUUGACAUACACCGGAAACGGCCAGAGAUGGUUGCCCCCUUGUGGUCGGUGUACAGGUGGUGCAUGGUUGUCGUCAGCUCGUGUCGUGAGAUGUUGGGUUAAGUCCCGCAACGAGCGCAACCCUCGUUCUAUGUUGCCAGCGCGUUAUGGCGGGGACUCAUAGGAGACUGCCGGGGUCAACUCGGAGGAAGGUGGGGAUGACGUCAAAUCAUCAUGCCCCUUAUGUCUUGGGCUUCACGCAUGCUACAAUGGCCGGUACAAAGGGCUGCGAUACCGUAAGGUGGAGCGAAUCCCAAAAAGCCGGUCUCAGUUCGGAUUGAGGUCUGCAACUCGACCUCAUGAAGUCGGAGUCGCUAGUAAUCGCAGAUCAGCAACGCUGCGGUGAAUACGUUCCCGGGCCUUGUACACACCGCCCGUCAAGUCAUGAAAGUCGGUAACACCCGAAGCCGGUGGCC
rnacentral:rRNA from 1 species